GACGACCGCUGGCGGCGUGCUUAACACAUGCAAGUCGAACGGAAAGGCCCUGCUUUUGUGGGGUGCUCGAGUGGCGAACGGGUGUGUAACACGUGAGUAACGUGCCCUUGACUUUGGGAUAACUUCAGGAAACGGGGGCUAAUACCGGAUAGGAGCUCCUGCUGCGGGGUGGGGGUUGGAAAGUUUCGGCGGUUGGGGAUCGGCUCGCGGCCUAUCAGCUUGUUGGUGGGGUAGUGGCUUCCCAAGGCUUGGCCGGGUAGCCGGCCCGAGUGGGUGACCGGCCUCAGUCGGACUGGGGCACGGCCGCGACUCCUACGGUUGUCAGCCGGGGGGCAUAUUACGCAGUCUGCGGAAGCGUGAUACAGCCAGCCCGUCUGCCGUAUGACGGGCUAUGGUUAUGAUGCUGCUUCCGGCAGUGCAGAUGGGUGAGUGACGGUCUUGGGUAGAUCAGCGCCGGCUAACUACCUG
rnacentral:rRNA from 1 species